rnacentral:rRNA from 1 species
AGAGUUUGAUCAUGGCUCAGGACGAACGCUGGCGGCGUGCUUAACACAUGCAAGUGGAGCGACGAACCAGGGCUUGCCCUGGGGCAAAGCCGCGAACGGGUGAGUAACACGUGGGUAACCUGCCCCGAUGAUUGGGACAACCCGGGGAAACCCGGGCUAAUACCGAAUGUGCUCACGGGCCUUCUGGCCUGUGCGUAAAGGAAGCUUCGGCCUCCGCAUUGGGAUGGGCCCGCGGCCCAUUAGCUUGUUGGUGAGGUAACGGCUCACCAAGGCCGCGAUGGGUAGCUGGUCUGAGAGGACGAUCAGCCACACUGGGACUGAGACACGGCCCAGACUCCUACGGGAGGCAGCAGUGGGGAAUCUUGCGCAAUGCGCGAAAGCGUGACGCAGCAACGCCGCGUGGGGGAAGACGGCCUUCGGGUUGUAAACCCCUUUCAGUUGGGACGAAGCUCCGCCCGUUAAUAGCGAGGCGGAGUGACGGUACCUUCAGAAGAAGCCCCGGCUAACUACGUGCCAGCAGCCGCGGUAAUACGUAGGGGGCGAGCGUUGUCCGGAAUCAUUGGGCGUAAAGAGCGUGUAGGUGGCCCGGUAAGUCCGCCGUGAAAGUCCAGGGCUCAACCCUGGAAAGCCGGUGGAUACUGUCGGGCUGGAGUCCGGAAGAGGCGAGUGGAAUUCCUGGUGUAGCGGUGAAAUGCGCAGAUAUCAGGAGGAACACCAAUGGCGAAGGCAGCUCGCUGGGACGGUACUGACACUGAGAGCGAAAGCGUGGGGAGCAAACAGGAUUAGAUACCCUAGUAGUCC